rnacentral:rRNA from 1 species
AUGACUCUGUCCACCUUGUACUCAGGUAAGGGCAAUGUCAUGCUCAUUGCUCAGAUUGAGGGGAAGAUCAGUCGGCUGCAUCAAGGUGAUGACAUGUCAGUGAUGACAUAUGUGGCAGAGCUGCAGGCUUUGUGGGCAGAGCAGGAUAACUGCGACCCUCUGGAACUCUAUGAUGCGGCUUGCAUCGAGUCAGGGCGCAAGUGGAUUGCACGCAGGCGUGUGCUGAAACUGUUGGAGGGGCUUAGAGGUUGCUUUCAUGGCAGGAGGGCAUCCCUGUUGCACCAACCUCUCCUGCCCUCUAUUGAGGAGACUAUUGCUGCAAUGUCUCAAGAGGAGGUGCGGCUAUCUCUUGAGCAUGCAGACAUGAAGGCUGUGCCGGCUUCGACAUUUGCAGUCACUGAGCGAUCCCAACAAAUGUCAUAUCUGUGGAGAGGUAGGUCACUGAAAGUGGGCGUGUCCAACUCGUGGCAGAGGCAGGGGAUACGACAGAGGGGGAACUGGCAGAGGCAGGCGUGGUAG